rnacentral:rRNA from 1 species
CGGGUGGUAAUGCCGGAUGCUCCAGUUGAUCGCAUGGUCUUCUGGGAAAGCUUUCGCGGUAUGGGAUGGGGUCGCGUCCUAUCAGCUUGACGGCGGGGUAACGGCCCACCGUGGCUUCGACGGGUAGCCGGCCUGAGAGGGCGACCGGCCACAUUGGGACUGAGAUACGGCCCAGACUCCUACGGGAGGCAGCAGUGGGGAAUAUUGCACAAUGGGCGCAAGCCUGAUGCAGCGACGCCGCGUGAGGGAUGGAGGCCUUCGGGUUGUAAACCUCUUUUAUCGGGGAGCAAGCGAGAGUGAGUUUACCCGUUGAAUAAGCACCGGCUAACUACGUGCCAGCAGCCGCGGUAAUACGUAGGGUGCAAGCGUUAUCCGGAAUUAUUGGGCGUAAAGGGCUCGUAGGCGGUUCGUCGCGUCCGGUGUGAAAGUCCAUCGCUUAACGGUGGAUCCGCGCCGGGUACGGGCGGGCUUGAGUGCGGUAGGGGAGACUGGAAUUCCCGGUGUAACGGUGGAAUGUGUAGAUAUCGGAAAAAAAAACACCA